rnacentral:rRNA from 1 species
GAUGAACGCUGGCGGCGUGCCUAAUACAUGCAAGUCGAGCGAACAGACGAGGAGCUUGCUCCUCUGACGUUAGCGGCGGACGGGUGAGUAACACGUGGAUAACCUACCUAUAAGACUGGGAUAACUUCGGGAAACCGGAGCUAAUACCGGAUAAUAUAUUGAACCGCAUGGUUCAAUAGUGAAAGACGGUUUUGCUGUCACUUAUAGAUGGAUCCGCGCCGCAUUAGCUAGUUGGUAAGGUAACGGCUUACCAAGGCAACGAUGCGUAGCCGACCUGAGAGGGUGAUCGGCCACACUGGAACUGAGACACGGUCCAGACUCCUACGGGAGGCAGCAGUAGGGAAUCUUCCGCAAUGGGCGAAAGCUUGACGGAGCAACGCCGCGUGAGUGAAGAAGGUCUUCGGAUCGUAAAACUCUGUUAUUAGGGAAGAACAAAUGUGUGAGUAACUAUGCACGUCUUGACGGUACCUAAUCAGAAAGCCACGGCUAACUACGUG